AUUGAGCGCUGGCGGCAUGCCUUACACAUGCAAGUCGAACGGUAACAGGUUAAGCUGACGAGUGGCGAACGGGUGAGUAAUAUAUCGGAACGUGCCCAGUCGUGGGGGAUAACGUAGCGAAAGCUACGCUAAUACCGCAUACGAUCUACGGAUGAAAGCGGGGGAUCGCAAGCCUUCGCGCGAUUGGAGCGGCCGAUAUCAGAUUAGGUUGUUGGUGAGGUAAAAGCUUACCAAGCCUGCGAUCUGUAGCUGGUCUGAGAGUACGACCAGUCACACUGGAACUGAGACACGGUCCAGACUCCUACGGGGGGCAGCAGUGGGGAAUUUUGGACAAUGGACGCAAGUCUGAUCCAGCAAUGCCGCGUGCAGGACGAAGGCCUUCGGGUUGUAAACUGCUUUUGUACGGAACGAAACGGUGAGCUCUAAUACAGUUUGCUAAUGACGGUACCGUAAGAAUAAGCACCGGCUAACUACGUGCCAGCCGCCGCGGUAA
rnacentral:rRNA from 1 species